UGGGGAAUAUUGCACAAUGGGCGCAAGCCUGAUGCAGCCAUGCCGCGUGUAUGAAGAAGGCCUUCGGGUUGUAAAGCACUUUCAGCGGGGAGGAAGGCGUUAAGGUUAAUAACCUUGGCGAUUGACGUUACCCGCAGAAGAAGCACCGGCUAACUCCGUGCCAGCAGCCGCGGUAAUACGGAGGGUGCAAGCGUUAAUCGGAAUUACUGGGCGUAAAGCGCACGCAGGCGGUCUGUCAAGUCGGAUGUGAAAUCCCCGGGCUCAACCUGGGAACUGCAUUCGAAACUGGCAGGCUAGAGUCUUGUAGAGGGGGGUAGAAUUCCAGGGGUAGCGGUGAAAUGAGUAGAGAUCUGGAGGAAUACCGGUGGCGAAGGCGGCCCCCUGGACAAAGACUGACGCUCAGGUGCGAAAGCGUGGGGAGCAAACAGG
rnacentral:rRNA from 1 species